CCUGCGGAGGGAUCAUUACUGAGUUUACGCUCUACAACCCUUUGUGAACAUACCUAUAACUGUUGCUUCGGCGGGUAGGGUCUCCGUGACCCUCCCGGCCUCCCGCCCCCGGGCGGGUCGGCGCCCGCCGGAGGAUAACCAAACUCUGAUUUAACGACGUUUCUUCUGAGUGGUACAAGCAAAUAAUCAAAACUUUUAACAACGGAUCUCUUGGUUCUGGCAUCGAUGAAGAACGCAGCGAAAUGCGAUAAGUAAUGUGAAUUGCAGAAUUCAGUGAAUCAUCGAAUCUUUGAACGCACAUUGCGCCCGCCAGCAUUCUGGCGGGCAUGCCUGUUCGAGCGUCAUUUCAACCCUCAAGCUCUGCUUGGUGUUGGGGCCCUACAGCUGAUGUAGGCCCUCAAAGGUAGUGGCGGACCCUCCCGGAGCCUCCUUUGCGUAGUAACUUUACGUCUCGCACUGGGAUCCGGAGGGACUCUUGCCGUAAAACCCCCCAAUUUUCCAAAGGUUGACCUCGGAUCAGGUAGGAAUACCCGCUGAACUUAAGCAUA
rnacentral:rRNA from 1 species